rnacentral:rRNA from 1 species
UACGUAGGUGGCAAGCGUUGUCCGGAUUUAUUGGGCGUAAAGCGCGCGCAGGCGGUCUUUUAAGUCUGAUAUGAAAUCUCGCGGCUCAACCGUGAGCGGUCAUUGGAAACUGGAAGACUUGAGUACAGAAGAGGAGAGUGGAAUUCCACGUGUAGCGGUGAAAUGCGUAGAUAUGUGGAGGAACACCAGUGGCGAAGGCGACUCUCUGGUCUGUAACUGACGCUGAGGCGCGAAAGCGUGGGGAGCGAACAGG